UACGUAGGUGGCAAGCGUUGUCCGGAAUUAUUGGGCGUAAAGCGCGCGCAGGCGGUCUUUUUAAGUCUGAUGUGAAAGCCCACGGCUCAACCGUGGAAGGUCAUUGGAAACUGGGAGACUUGAGUACAGAAGAGGAAAGCGGAAUUCCACGUGUAGCGGUGAAAUGCGUAGAGAUGUGGAGGAACACCAGUGGCGAAGGCGGCUUUCUGGUCUGUAACUGACGCUGAGGCGCGAAAGCGUGGGGAGCAAACAGG
rnacentral:rRNA from 1 species